UCCCUAAAUAGGGACUAGUAUGAACGGCUAAAUGAGGACUUUGCUGUCUCUUUCCGCCAGUCAAUGAAACUGAUCUCCCAGUCCAAAAGCUGGGAUAACAACAUAAGACAAAAAGACCCUGUGGAGCUUAAAACCAAAACCACCAAAAUGUCCACUUGGUUUUCAGUUGGGGCGACUUCGGAACAAAGACAAACCUCCGAAAAUAAUGGAACCCUCCAUAUCAAGACCUACACGCCAAAAUAAUCUUAAACUUGACCCAGACCCCUUCAAGUCUGACCAAUGAACCAAGUUACCCCAGGGAUAACAGCGCCAUCUUCUUUUAGAGUCCAUAUCAACAAGAAGGUUUACGACCUCGAUGUUGGAUCAGGACACCCCAAUAGUGCAGCCGCUAUUAAAGGUUCG
rnacentral:rRNA from 1 species